CAGGGAGAGAGAGAGAGAGACAGAGAGAGGCAGAGAGAGGCAGAGGGAGAGAGCUCCACGGGGAAAGCCCAUGAUGGGCUUUCUCUCCCAGGGCUGCGAACAGCCAGGGUCCCUUUGUGGAAUGUGGACCUGCUCAGAAGACAAGUCACCUGCCAGCUCUCUGGUCACUGGAGAAUAAAGAAGGGUUUGGCGGGAAGGACAGAGGGGGAAGCACACCCUUGGCCUGUGGCUUGCACAGCCAGCGUGUUUUCUUUGACAUUGGACGUGAUAUUUUUCAAACUGUGUUGUUUCAGUGGGAGAAGAGAUGGGGGUCGGGGUGCUGGGCAGAAACCUCUGCCCCCUAUGGUUCCUUCCCACCAAGUCCUCCCUGGAACCUGUAGUGAAGGAGACACAGCCCAGGCCCCCGGGGUUUCCGCAGCCCUGGAGAUCCCGCUGCCUGCACGUCCGUGGACUCUGUAGGGGAUCAGCUCAAGAAUAAACGGUGACCAGAUUCAUCAAGUGCAUUGAAUUCACCUCCUGGGUCCUCCAUCUUUUCCAGUUGCCGCCCAAGGGUGGAACCUGCAGCAGAAUUUCAUGGCUUCAAAAAAGAAGAUACUUUCUGUUUAUGAGCAGGAAAGCAUGUCACUGCGGAGUUGGAGG